rnacentral:tRNA from 1 species
GAAGUUAUAGUUUAAUUAAAACGCUAAGUUGCAAGCUUGGAGUUGAACAAGAUUCUAACUUUU